AUCACUUCCCUUUUGAUCUACAGGCUAAAGUUGCACCAUCUGUUCCCUUCCCUGUUUAACUGAUGGACACUGUUCCGCUACUAAAGUCUUCAAGCUGGAAAAUCGCAAUGUCGCUUUCUGCUGCCUCUCAAACUUAUCUAUAGCUUUAGGUUGGUUUCACUGAUAUUGCAUUGGUAUUGCUAAUGUUAGUUAUAUCUUAGCCAUCAUGCUACAGUGUUUAAAGACAAUUAUUUUGUUAGAGAAAAAGUACAAGCAAGAGUUUUUGCGAUGUUGCAUCUACCUGCAUUUUCCCAAUAGAGUGUCCAAUAUGUCGUUUUGGCAUAUCAUUUUCCAUUUCCUUUCAUAGGAGACUUGAUUAAAUCAGAUUAGCUUACUUCUAUAUAAGAAAGCAUAUAUGUAACCAUCACAAGUUGUUGCAUAGUGCAUUAUAUUGGUGGAAGUUGUGCAUUAAUGCUUCUGAUAUUCUUUGAUUAAAGUCUUGCCAAAUGUGGAAACUCGUAUGCUCUUUUGGAUCAUUGGCCUAAACAAAAUCCUAGCUACGUUGUUAUCUAUAUUUAUGUUUUGAUUUGAUAGUUUAACAUAAAAAAAAUAAUAUACAUGGUUGAUUAGGUACAAGGAUUUUCCCAUAUUUUGUCGAAAACCAUUUUGGGUCAUUGCCAUUCUCCGAUAUCAUUACUAGUUUUGUAUCUGUCCUUUUAAAUGUAACAGGACCAACCCGUCAUACUGAAUCUCUUUGGCAUCUGUUAAGUGGAGUUUACUGUAUGUGAAUCACAACUUUUUCAAGUCAUUGAUUGCGAUAUAUAUAGAGGUUAGUUGUUGAUUCUUUGGAUUGUCUCUAAAAGAAAAGUUAAGAAAUAAACACAAAAGUAGAAAAGCUUGAGGAAUUUUGCUUUGCUUUAGCUUCUAGCUUCCUUAUGUUUUUUACUCGAAGUUGCAAGUUAAGAGAAUAGUAACAUUUAAGGACAGAUGAGAAAGCUCUAUCGCAAACUCUACAUUUGUGUACUUAU
rnacentral:lncRNA from 1 species